CCCAUUUUUUAUUGCUGAGAUAUUUCUCCUUCUCCACCAAAUAACUUCAUUUCAUUUCCUUCAAAAAGCAAGGUACUUAACUCACUCUCUGAACCAAUUCUUGAUUGCAGUCAUCCAAUGAGAACGAGAAUGCGAACCGUUUCUAACUCGAAACCAUUAGCAUUUGCUGACGUUUUCAAAAAUUUAGUCGUCAAAGCGAGAAAAGAAGCCGAGUUGGAAACUGCCAUCAUUGAGAAGCUGAAGCGGCGGUUUAAGGUAUCACAGGGUAAUCCGACUCCGUUUGGAGCAAUUGCUCGAGACGGUAGAGUCAAUUUUUGUAUAUUUUCUAGCAAUGCGGUUUCCGCUACUCUUUGCUUGAUCACUCUCUCCGAUUUGCAAGAGGGUAGAGUCACUGAAGAAAUCUUCCUUGAUCCUUUUAUUAAUUAAAUUGGAGAUGUGUGGCAUGUAUUUGUUAAAGGAGAUUUUAAAGACAUGUUGUAUGGAUGCAAAUUUGAUGGCAAGUUUUCUCCUGAGCGAGGACAGUAUUAUGACUCUUCCAAAAUAGUAUUGGAUCCGUAUGCGAAAGCAGUUAUCACUCAGUAGAGGGCAGUUUGGCGUUCCGGCGCCUGAUGAUAAUUGCUGGCCUCAAAUGGUCUGCAUGGUGCGUAAUUCUGAGGAUGAGGGUAAAUUUUUGGGGGUAUUCCACUGUCAACUACUUUUCUCCUAUGAUAAGAUAUUCAUAUAAUGGUACAUGUAAUUGUGGCCGUGAUGCUAUUAAUGAAUUCAACCUUCUUAUUAAGGAAUCACAGAUAUGAAGAAUUGAGGUGAUACCUGGUCUCAGUAACAAGGAGCAUUUCUUUUCAGUAAUUAACAGUUUUCCAUAUCUAAUUUUCUUUAGCAGGUGUUCAUGGAUGUUGUAUUCAAUCACACAACUGAGGGCAAUGAGAAAGGUCUUACUUUGUCUUUUAGAGGUGUUGAUAAUAGUGUUUAUUACAUGUUGGCCCCUAAGGUACUAUUUUUGACACAUUGCUCCUAUAUAUACACCUUCACUUGAUUCUGGUGUUGUUUAAUUAAUGGUCAUUCUAUUUGAUGUGUAUUUGAAUUCCUAAAUA